rnacentral:lncRNA from 1 species
GUUUGUUUUAGACCAGGGAUGGGGAAUCUGUGGUCCUCCAGAUGUUAUUGGGUUACAAGAUUCAUUAUUCCCAGCAACUGGCUGUGUUGGUUGGGGCUGAUAGGAGUCAACAAUAUCUGUAGGAUCACAGGUUUCCCAUGCCUGCCUCAGACUGUAAAACACAAAGCUCAAUUAGCUGACAAAGUCGCAAUGGCAUCUUAUUAAUCACAGAUUUAAAAUAUAUACUGAGUAAAGUGCCAGUGCACUUUAAUUUUUGAAAGACAUUAAUCUCUUUCUCUGUGUUUUCCAACAUGGGAUAGAAACUUUACCAAGAGGCAAGCACAUCUCCCUUAUCUGUCCUCUUGACUUGUAUAUUUACAUCCACACCAGAGCAUUGAUUCCAGGUAGAAAAUGCAAUUUCAUUACACUCAGAGACAAAAAAAGUGUGUUAAUAAAACAUCAAGGGAAGUCCUUGACGUAAAGAAGUUCACAUCUACAUAAAGUCAGCUGCUGGGUGCCACAGACACAGAUAAUAAUCACUAAGCAUUUUAAAUCAUCUUUUGAAAAUGAAAUCUUCCAGUAGCUCUAGAUAUUCCAGAAGGAUUUUCUAAAAAUCCUUUUUUAAUUAAUGACAGCCUUGAGGGCAACAAACAAUGAUUAAUUAAAAAACAAGCCAAAAGGAAAAUUGGGAAUGGGCUGUGGGAGGCGGUGGGGAGAGAAGCAAGCAGGGUUCUUUUUUCCUCUGCAGAUAAACAACAUUUGUUCUUAGCAAAUAAAGAAAACUGUACUAAAUUGUACCAAAUAAGAUUGAAAUGCUAUGCUCCUGUCAGGACAUGAAGAAUUAUCAUCAUCAUCAUCUUGUCGUUCCUCUCAUGAGAGCCCAGAGGAGCUAAGAAUAAAAAUGUAGCACAUUAAAAGCAUUAAAACAAAGUGUAUGAAUAUGGACUUUAAGCUGCAAUCCUGUUUGGUAAGGGCAGUUGCAUAGCAUCUGCUUUGCAUGCAGAAGGUCUCAUAUUCAAUCCCCAGUAUUUUGAGAGGGACUACUACCUGAAACUGCAGAGCUGCUGCAUUCAUUGUAGACAAUACCAACCUAGAUGGGCUAGUGGUUUGACUCAGUACAGAUCACAGAAAAGAAGCUAACAGCUCUCACUUGUGGACCAGAGAGCAGAACUGUAGAUGCUGCUGUUAAGGCUUGGACAGGGACAUAUGAAGGCAAGCAGUCCUUCAGACAGUCUGGUCUCAAUCCAUUCAGAGCUUUAAAUGCUAAUACUGCAACCUUAAAUUGGUAACUGUGUGUUCUCAUCUCAGCACCUAAAACAUUGCCGAGUGUCCUCAUCUUCUGAGAGAAGUGUUCAGGGUUCUACCCAUGCUUUCUUCAAUUUCAUUCCACCCAUUUUGUUUUCCAUUUUUCUUUUCCAAAUGUCAACAUUGCUUGGCUCCAGAUCAGGUUCAAUUCCCAUUUGACUAUUUUGGAGGCUCAUUUCUUCCUUCUAAUUUGUUUUUAAAAGGUGUGUGGGUGUCGUGUUGUGGGUGUUGCACUUCUGUAAACCUGAAGUUCCCACAAACAGGUUGCUUUCUCCCUCUUCUUUUUCAGUGGCCCCAUUUUGGUUCUAAUCUGCACUCAUCACCUGAGUUCACUGGCAUAUAAGCCAUAAUAACACAUAGUAAAUGUUUAAAUAUUAUUUGUCUUUUUCCCCACCUGCCAGAAUGUUUCAGUCAUAGGCCUUUUCACUUCUUUUGAAUAAUCUAGUCCAGUAGUUCCCAAUUACGGUAACUAAUUCCUAAGGACCCCCUAUUUUUUCAAAAGCCAAGCCACAGACCCGCCCCAAUUUUUGAAAUUUUUGAUAACUCUAUGAUAGUUACCUAUGCAAAACAAUUUUUUGAACAAAAUAUGGGGUAGGCCUUAAUAAGCAAAGGAAUUUAGGUAUACUAAAACACAGACUAGGGCUGAGUGAUAUCUGGUUUUCAACAUCGUGAUAUAUCAACAGCUGAACAUUGAGAUAUUCUGAUAUAUCACGAUGUCUGACAUUGGAGAUCAGGAGUGGGGAUGAAGGAAGGAGCAGUUGCAGAGAUUGGAUGGGUGAGGGGAGGAGAGGAAGUGAAGUCACCUCCACCGCAUGGUUGAAUGGGAGGGGAUGAGGUGGGGGAUGCAUCAAGCCACCGUCAGUGGGGCAGCCGGCAAAGAUACAUAUCCACUGUGGCUGCUGCUGCUGCUACUUUCCUGCUGACAGAAAAGUUGCUCCGCCUCAGUGCUAGAGGAAUGUAGUGCCACAGUGCCUUGAAGUGAAGGCAAUCAGCUGUCCUGUUCUCUGUCAGUGUGAGGAAAAGGCUGCCCUGGUCUCCCUCAGCAUGAGGGAAGGCAGCCCAGAUCAGCAGCAUUAUCGGCUGAGAUCAUCGUGCGAUAUUGGUGGGGCCUUGAAAUCGACUGACCUGCUCUCCCUCGCGCAGGGAGUGAUACAUUGCUGUGUAAUGCUGGGUCGAAAUCAUUAUCGCGGUGUGAUUUCAAAACGAAUUUUGGCCAAUUUAUUGAAAAAUUGCACAGUGUUAAACAGACCAUAAAAUUAAUGAUAUUACCAUACAAAAAUGACAAAAAAUAGACCCCCUGGGGGUCCCCGGACCCCUAAUUGGGAACCACUGAUUUAGUCCAAGGAGAGCUUUAGGGUAUCUGACAAGCUCUUUCUUGGGAUCAGUUAUCUAGAACACGUGUAUGACCAUAAAUCAUUUCAUUUUAGUGGGGGGUGGGGAAAUCCAGUCAUUAAAGAUAAAAAAUUAGCUAAAUGAUAAGGGUGAUGAAUUUCUAAGUAGCUAAUUUUCUGAUAAGCAGUGAUAUGUAUUUACAAUAGUUAAUUAUUGAUGUACAAUACAUCAAGAAUGAUUAAUCAAAAGGCUGUAAGUCACUACAGAUAUGAAUUGCAUAUUUUAUAAUGCUAUCUUUUUAUCUUUUGCUUUUUUUACUUUGUGAGAUUUUUAGUUUGUUAGUCAUGGUGGAUCAAACAAUGUAAUGAUAAGCUACAGCAAUAGUAAUUUCUAGCUGGUUACCCAUGGAUACUGAAACGACAUAUAUUGAACAGUUUCUACAUCUUUAAAAUAUAUGUUUGUUUUAAAAUGUAUUAUGUCAGCUAUAUGAGAUGUUUAUGCUUAACAGAUUUUGUUCCAGACACUGAUUUCAGGUUCACUUUUGCUUUGAGGUGUUUAGAUUUUUUGCCAUUUCAAAUUACUAUAUUGCAAUACAAUGGUACCUCGGGUUACAGACACUUCAGGUUACAGACACUUCAGGUUACAGACUCCACUAACCCAGAAAUAGUACCUCAGGUUAAGAACUUUGCUUCAGGGUUAGAACAGAAAUCGUGUGGCGGCAGUGGGAGGCCCCAUUAGCUAAAGUGGUACCUCAGGUUAAGAACAGUUUCAGGUUAAGAACGGACCUCCAGAACGAAUUAAGUUCUUAACCCGAGGUACCACUGUAUAAGGAAAAAACUCCUAUCUGAAUUCAAGUAUAGUUCACCAAGGUAGUUCACCACUAGGCCUAAGUUACCGUAAUUGCUUUUCAAUUAGUACAGUCGCUCUGGGAACAUAAUACUCAGAUUUAGCAUCUCCAAGGACCUAAUGCAAAAAAAAUGGGUUGCAUAUCACUAAGUUUGGGAGACGUUUCCAAAUUUCUAGACUGAGGAGGAAGCGGGGUGGUGUGUUCUGUAGCACCACUUGAGGCAAAACGGAAAGUGCUGCCCACUCUUCUACACUGCUGUGCUUCCUCCAUGCCAUUCACCUCCGCCAGCACCACCACCAUGACGUGCCACACACUUUCAUUGGCAGCGGCACCACACCAGAGGAGAAAACAAAUCUGAGCCAAUUAUAAAACAAUAAUUGUUAAUAAAAAUAAAAGCAAUCAAUAAUAAAACAAUAGGUAGCAAAUAGGAUAAGUUAUUAAGUCGCUCUUUAAGGCCAUAAAGAUGGUUAUAAGCGUUAUGUACCAAUAUUUCUUGGAAGUCUGUUCUUCAUGUCCACCUUUGGUGUCUUAAGGUAAUUGUGGUUUGGUUUUCUGACAUCCCAUCCCAAUUCUACUUUUCUGUUCCAGGAUAUCUCCAUUUGGUAUGAUUUCUGAUCCCACAUAUAUGAAAGUUGGAGCCAACUGCUGCAUGUGAAGUAAUCGUCAGAUUUACAAUAUGCACAAAGAAAUGAAUUAUGAUUAAUUCAUUUCCCAAGAUUACAGUGUUGUGCUAAAGGUUACCUUGAGGCUUUUUUUGGUGUGAAAUAUUAAAAAUUCAGCGUUUGUAACAGUUCACAUUAUUCAUAUUGCAAAUCCCGUGAGUUUGAAAAAAAUCUUACAUACAUUAACUAAUCUCCAAAAUUGGUUAAACAUUGAAUGCAUUAUGUGGAAAACAUAACUAAAUGUAAAUUUAAAAACUUAUGUAAGUAGUAGAAAUAGACAUUGGGUGCUGAACAAAUUUAAGAAUUUCAUGAUUGGGAAGUAAGUAAGGCCAGCCCUACAAUGAGGCAGAGUGAGGCACCUGUCUCAGGUGAGGAGAAUGGACAGAGCUGUGCCAUAUGGCCUGCCUGGCUGACACUCCUCAAGUGCAGUGGAAGGUACUGGCAGUUUUGUCACUUAAUGGAAAAGGGGGGGGGAUGUAAAUGAAAAUCUUUUUAAGACUCAUAUACAGAUCCCUUUUAUAAACAGUUUUGCUGAUAAUUACUGAACAAUUCUACAAUGAAGGGUUUGUCAUUGUGCUGAGCACAUUACUAUAUUAGAAAACUCAUGGUUCUGUUGCACCUGAAUGAUUCCACUCAUCUCUGUUUAUCUUCCAUUUCCACUUAAAGGCUCGCAUAUUUAUAGGAAAAAAAUAUUCAUUCUGUAGCAAAUCUCUAUGACUUAUUGGGAAGGAGUAAGAAAUGUUUUCUUGCCCACACAAUGGUGCACUGUCUGAAUGUUUGGAAACCUUUUAUGUCUGCUUUUAGAGAAGCAAAUAGGAAGUAUGUAUAGAGAUGCUUCAGACAUGCAAUAACAUGGCAGCAAGCCUUAGAGCUCUAUUCCUUUGUCAAGUUAUGUCUAUCAGCUCAGUCUAUGCUCCUAUUUUCUGUGAACUCAAAAUUCAGAAUCUCUCUAGCACUGCUCUUCUCUAUCACAAAUACUCUCCUUUUAUCUCAAACACCUGUAAUAGAUUAGAUGAAAAUAUGUUGUUCACUGUGAGUCAGUGGAAUGCUGUUGUUCCCUAUUAAUUUUCUUGAAAAUUAGGUUUUUGCUUUCUGCAGUUGUUCCAUACCAUUAAUUCCAGAUCUUUUGUUUAAAUAUGAAAUGUCUUCUCUUUAGCUCAGAAUCAAAUAUGCUAGAAAGAUAAAAGAGAUUUAAGUAUCUGCAUUUCUGAGGGAUAGGCACAGAAAUGAUGAAAAGCCUAUCUAUACAUGUAAGAGAAAAGCAAGGAAAAUAUUUCCUUCUUUACUUAUGACGUUGUUCCCACAUUCUUGCUGCAUACUGUGCUACACCCUAUUCUGCCUGAGGUUAUAUUUCUGGUCAAAAACAUAAACGCUUCAUUCUACAUGAAGUGUCAGCUUCCUUGUGCCUAGGAAGACCUUGCAUUGGAAAUGUUUUGUUUUGUUAGCUUUAUAUUCUAGUUUGCUUAUGAUAGUCUUACAAAAGAGGUUGUUUUAUCAUCUUUGUUUAUGUGGCUAUGCAGAGAAUUUGAGUUUAUAGUUUAGUGCCACUGUAGUUUCAGCAUCCAUCUGCUUGCUUUAGAGACAGGAUUAGAAAUGAGACAAGAUAAUACCUGAACUGCUUCCCCUGCUGCUAAUCUCUGGUUCACUUCAUACUUUUGCUGUUCUUAUAGGCCCUGAUAAGUGUAAACCUCAAUUAUUAAUUUAGCUACAAGCCCAGUAACAUAAUGACUUAAUUAUGCCUGCUCAGUUGUAGUAAUGUGUACUGCUCUGAAAGUAUACUGAAUGUGUUUUGACCCAUCACCACAUCAGUAAUUUAUAAAAUAGAUGGUAUUAAAAUAUUAGCUUAUUUCAGUUUAGUGAGGUAAUAAUAAUAAUAAUAAUAAUAAUAAUAAUAAUAAUAGAAGAAGAAGAAUUUGGCAACAAUUUCAGGCAGUAAAGAUGAUAAAAGGUUGUAUUACGGAUAAAAAAUGAAAUAAACUUUCAGACUAAUAAUGGCAUGUGGAUUGCCUUUGAAAUAAUCUAAGGCAUCAUCCAAAAGAUCUAAGGACCAAACUACAUGCAAAAUUAAAUGUCUGGCCACCACUAACUUACAUCUGCUUUCCACAUCUCCUGAUAAUGUCACAGACAUGUGACAUGACAUAAUAAUUGCACACCAUUUCCCCUUUCUCUGCAACUCAAAGCAAAUUAAGUGGAGUAGAGAACAGUUAAAUAAGCAAUGAUGUCACAUUAAGUGUUGACUUUACAGUAACUAAAUGUUAGUGGGAGAUAUGAUAAGGUUCAAUGUGGCUAUGUGUUUAACGUAAUGUACAGACCCCCUCUGAAAAGAAGGUUCAAAGGCUCUCAGAGUGAGCAAAUAAGGGUGGUUUCAGCUGACACCAAUUUUGUAGGGUCACCACUUUUUCACAUCGUAGUUGUUGUAUCCAGUCAUCUCUGUGACUUCCACCAGAUGAAGCCAACUAACCUCUUAAUGCCAUACCUGCAUAUGCACAGUCAGACAUAAGAAGAAGAAGAAGAGUUUGGAUUUGAUAUUCCCCUUUAUCACUACCCUUAGGAGUCUCAAAGCGGCUAACAUUCUCCUUUCCCUUCCUCCCCCACAACAAACACUCUGUGAGGUGAGUGAGGCUGAGAGACUUCA